ensembl:snoRNA
UAGUCUGAAAUGAUGACUCUCUUAAAUUUCAUAACUUUUCUUUGACAUUUUUCUCUGGAGAAAGAUUUUUUCUUACUCAUUGGAUCAGAAUG